GGUCCAAUCGUAUAGUGGCUUAUUAUGCUGUCUUAGGGUUUGGACGUGGCUGAAAACGCAGAAACUGUAUGACAGAGGUCCCCAGUCCGAUUCUGGGUUGGACCC
rnacentral:tRNA from 1 species